rnacentral:snoRNA from 1 species
CCCAGCCUUUGAAAGUGGUCAUGGGCUGCCAGUGCCCCAGUCGUUGAUAGCACAGGGAGAGGACCACAGGGAGAGGACCGGCUGAAAGCACUUCCCCGUUUGGAGGUCCUGUUCCGUCCCUUAGAAACUCUGGAGCUUUCCCACA